rnacentral:rRNA from 1 species
CGACUUAUAUUCUGUAGCAAGGUUAACCGAAUAGGGGAGCCGGAGGGAAACCGAGUCUUAAUUGGGCGUUAAGUUGCAGGGUAUAGACCCGAAACCCGGUGAUCUAGCCAUGGGCAGGUUGAAGGUUGGGUAACACUAACUGGAGGACCGAACCGACUAAUGUUGAAAAAUUAGCGGAUGACCUGUGGCUGGGGGUGAAAGGCCAAUCAAACCGGGAGAUAGCUGGUUCUCCCCGAAAGCUAUUUAGGUAGCGCCUCGUGAAUUCAUCUCCGGGGGUAGAGCACUGUUUCGGCUAGGGGGCCAUCCCGGCUUACCAACCCGAUGCAAACUGCGAAUACCGGAGAAUGUUAUCACGGGAGACACACGGCGGGUGCUAACGUCCGUCGUGAAGAGGGAAACAACCCAGACCGCCAGCUAAGGUCCCAAAGUCAUGGUUAAGUGGGAAACGAUGUGGGAAGGCCCAGACAGCCAGGAUGUUGGCUUAGAAGCAGCCAUCAUUUAAAGAAAGCGUAAUAGCUCACUGGUCGAGUCGGCCUGCGCGGAAGAUGUAACGGGGCUAAACCAUGCACCGAAGCUGCGGCAGCGAACGUAUCACCCAAGACAACUUUACGGAGUUGACGAUUGACGGAGCGAAGCGACGUCAAAGCGUUCAUUAAAGUCGAGUUGGCUUAGGGAUACGUUCGUUGGGUAGGGGAGCGUUCUGUAAGCCUGUGAAGGUGUGUCGUGAGGCAUGCUGGAGGUAUCAGAAGUGCGAAUGCUGACAUAAGUAACGAUAAAGCGGGUGAAAAGCCCGCUCGCCGGAAGACCAAGGGUUCCUGUCCAACGUUAAUCGGGGCAGGGUGAGUCGACCCCUAAGGCGAGGCCGAAAGGCGUAGUCGAUGGGAAACGGGUUAAUAUUCCCGUACUUGGUGUUACUGCGAAGGGGGGACGGAGAAGGCUAUGUUGGCCGGGCGACGGUUGUCCCGGUUUAAGCGUGUAGGUGUGUGUUCCAGGUAAAUCCGGUUCACUUUAACACUGAGGCGUGACGACGAGGCACUACGGUGCUGAAGCAACAAAUGCCCUGCUUCCAGGAAAAGCCUCUAAGCAUCAGGUAACAUCAAAUCGUACCCCAAACCGACACAGGUGGUCAGGUAGAGAAUACCAAGGCGCUUGAGAGAACUCGGGUGAAGGAACUAGGCAAAAUGGUGCCGUAACUUCGGGAGAAGGCACGCUGACACGUAGGUGAAGUGAUUUACUCAUGGAGCUGAAGUCAGUCGAAGAUACCAGCUGGCUGCAACUGUUUAUUAAAAACACAGCACUGUGCAAACACGAAAGUGGACGUAUACGGUGUGACGCCUGCCCGGUGCCGGAAGGUUAAUUGAUGGGGUCAGCGCAAGCGAAGCUCCUGAUCGAAGCCCCGGUAAACGGCGGCCGUAACUAUAACGGUCCUAAGGUAGCGAAAUUCCUUGUCGGGUAAGUUCCGACCUGCACGAAUGGCGUAAUGAUGGCCAGGCUGUCUCCACCCGAGACUCAGUGAAAUUGAACUCGCUGUGAAGAUGCAGUGUACCCGCGGCAAGACGGAAAGACCCCGUGAACCUUUACUAUAGCUUGACACUGAACAUUGAGCCUUGAUGUGUAGGAUAGGUGGGAGGCUUUGAAGUGUGGACGCCAGUCUGCAUGGAGCCGACCUUGAAAUACCACCCUUUAAUGUUUGAUGUUCUAACGUGGACCCGUAAUCCGGGUUGCGGACAGUGUCUGGUGGGUAGUUUGACUGGGGCGGUCUCCUCCUAAAGAGUAACGGAGGAGCACGAAGGUUGGCUAAUCCUGGUCGGACAUCAGGAGGUUAGUGCAAUGGCAUAAGCCAGCUUGACUGCGAGCGUGACGGCGCGAGCAGGUGCGAAAGCAGGUCAUAGUGAUCCGGUGGUUCUGAAUGGAAGGGCCAUCGCUCAACGGAUAAAAGGUACUCCGGGGAUAACAGGCUGAUACCGCCCAAGAGUUCAUAUCGACGGCGGUGUUUGGCACCUCGAUGUCGGCUCAUCACAUCCUGGGGCUGAAGUAGGUCCCAAGGGUAUGGCUGUUCGCCAUUUAAAGUGGUACGCGAGCUGGGUUUAGAACGUCGUGAGACAGUUCGGUCCCUAUCUGCCGUGGGCGCUGGAGAACUGAGGGGGGCUGCUCCUAGUACGAGAGGACCGGAGUGGACGCAUCACUGGUGUUCGGGUUGUCAUGCCAAUGGCACUGCCCGGUAGCUAAAUGCGGAAGAGAUAAGUGCUGAAAGCAUCUAAGCACGAAACUUGCCCCGAGAUGAGUUCUCCCUGAGACUUAGAGUCUCCUGAAGGAACGUUGAAGACGACGACGUUGAUAGGCCGGGUGUGUAAGCGCAGCGAUGCGUUGAGCUAACCGGUACUAAUGAACCGUGAGGCUUAACCUUACAACGCCGAAG